rnacentral:rRNA from 1 species
GGAUCAGUACGCUGGUCGUGCCUUGGUACGCACUGGUGUCACUGAUUCCUCCCUUCUGAAGAACCGUUAUGCCAUUUAUUUGGUGUGAUGGGGAAUCAGGACUGUUACUUUGAAAAAAUUAGAGUGUUUAAAGCAGGCUCACGCUUGAAUACAUUAGCAUGGAAUAACGGAAUAGGACGUUUGAUUCUAUUUUGUUGGUUUCUAGGAUCGACGUA